UGCGUAGGCGGCUUUUUAAGUCGGAUGUGAAAUCCCUGAGCUUAACUUAGGAAUUGCAUUCGAUACUGGGAAGCUAGAGUAUGGGAGAGGAUGGUAGAAUUCCAGGCGUAGCGGUGAAAUGCGUAGAGAUCUGGAGGAAUACCGAUGGCGAAGGCAGCCAUCUGGCCUAAUACUGACGCUGAGGUACGAAAGCAUGGGGAGCAAACA
rnacentral:rRNA from 1 species